CAGUCGCCGCGGUAAUACGAGGGGGGCAAGCGUUGUUCGGAAUUAUUGGGCGUAAAGGGUGCGUAGGCGGUUUGAUAAGUCUUGUGUGAAAUCUCUGGGCUCAACCCAGAGUCUGCACAGGAAACUGUCGGGCUUGAGAGUGGGAGAGGUGAGUGGAAUUUCCGGUGUAGCGGUGAAAUGCGUAGAUAUCGGAAGGAACACCUGUGGCGAAAGCGGCUCACUGGACCAUUUCUGACGCUGAUGCACGAAAGCUAGGGGAGCAAACAGGAUUAGAUACCCCAGUAGUCCCUGUCUCUUAUAA
rnacentral:rRNA from 1 species